CGAUAGUGAACUAGUACCGUGAGGGAAAGGCGAAAAGAACCCCGGUGAGGGGAGUGAAAUAGAUCCUGAAACCGCGUACGUACAAGCAGUAGGAGCCUCUUUUAUGGGGUGACUGCGUACCUUUUGUAUAAUGGGUCAGCGAGUUAUUGUCAGUAGCAAGGUUAACCGUUUAGGGGAGCCGUAGGGAAACCGAGUCUUAAUAGGGCGUUUUAGUUGCUGGUAAUAGACCCGAAACCGGGCGAUCUAGCCAUGGCCAGGUUGAAGGUGCCGUAACAGGCACUGGAGGACCGAACCCACCUAUGUUGAAAAAUGGGGGGAUGAGCUGUGGCUCGGAGUGAAAGGCUAAUCAAGCCCGGAGAUAGCUGGUUCUCCUCGAAAACUAUUUAGGUAGUGCCUCGCGUUUGACUGCUGGGGGUAGAGCACUGUGUCGGCUAGGGGGUCAUCCCGACUUACCAACCCGAUGCAAACUCCGAAUACCAGUAAGUAUUAUCGCGGGAGACAGACAGCGGGUGCUAACGUCCGUUGUCGAGAGGGCAACAACCCAGACCACCAGCUAAGGUCCCUAAUAUCAGUUAAGUGGGAAACGAUGUGGGAAGGCUAAGACAGCUAGGAGGUUGGCUUAGAAGCAGCCACCCUUUAAAGAAAGCGUAAUAGCUCACUAGUCGAGUCGGCCUGCGCGGAAGAUAUAACGGGGCUAAACUGAUAACCGAAGCUGUGGAUGCGCAUUUAUGCGCAUGGUAGAGGAGCGUUCUGUAAGCCGUUGAAGGUGAAUCGUAAGGUUUGCUGGAGGUAUCAGAAGUGCGAAUGCUGACAUGAGUAACGAUAAGGGGGGUGAAAAACCCCCCCGCCGAAAGAUCAAGGUUUCCUGUCCAACGUUAAUCGGGACAGGGUGAGUCGGCACCUAAGGCGAGGGCGAAGGCCGUAGUCGAUGGAAAAUCGGUUAAAAUUCCGAUACCGAUUCUUACUGCGAUGGAGGGACGGAGCAGGCUAGGCUAGCACGGCGUUGGUAGUCCGUGUUUAAGCGUGUAGGUAGGGGGAUUAGGUAAAUCCGGUUCCUCGUUAAUCUGAGACGUGAUGACGAUCUCUUGGGGCAACCCUUGAGAGAAGUAGUUGAUGCCAUACUUCCAGGAAAAUCUUCUAAGCUUCAGGUAAGAAUUGACCGUACUGUAAACCGACACAGGUGAUCAGGUAGAGAAUACCAAGGCGCUUGAGAGAACUUGGGUGAAGGAACUAGGCAAAAUGGCACCGUAACUUCGGGAGAAGGUGCGCCGGUGACGGUGAUGGACCUUGCGUCCUAAGCUGUUGCCGGUCGAAGUAACCAGGCCGCUGCGACUGUUUAUUAAAAACACAGCACUCUGCAAACUCGUAA
rnacentral:rRNA from 1 species